rnacentral:rRNA from 1 species
CUUAUGCGUUGUUGGGUAGGGGAGCGUUCUGUAAGCCUGCGAAGGUGGCCUGUGAGGGUUGCUGGAGGUAUCAGAAGUGCGAAUGCUGACAUAAGUAACGAUAAAGCGGGUGAAAAGCCCGCUCGCCGGAAGACCAAGGGUUCCUGUCCAACGUUAAUCGGGGCAGGGUGAGUCGACCCCUAAGGCGAGGCCGAAAGGCGUAGUCGAUGGGAAACGGGUUAAUAUUCCCGUACUUGGUGUUACUGCGAAGGGGGGACGGAGAAGGCUAUGUUGGCCGGGCGACGGUUGUCCCGGUUUAAGCGUGUAGGCUGGUUUUCCAGGCAAAUCCGGAAAAUCAAGGCUGAGGCGUGAUGACGAGGCACUACGGUGCUGAAGCAACAAAUGCCCUGCUUCCAGGAAAAGCCUCUAAGCAUCAGGUAACAUCAAAUCGUACCCCAAACCGACACAGGUGGUCAGGUAGAGAAUACCAAGGCGCUUGAGAGAACUCGGGUGAAGGAACUAGGCAAAAUGGUGCCGUAACUUCGGGAGAAGGCACGCUGACACGUAGGUGAAGUGAUUUACUCAUGGAGCUGAAGUCAGUCGAAGAUACCAGCUGGCUGCAACUGUUUAUUAAAAACACAGCACUGUGCAAACACGAAAGUGGACGUAUACGGUGUGACGCCUGCCCGGUGCCGGAAGGUUAAUUGAUGGGGUCAGCGCAAGCGAAGCUCCUGAUCGAAGCCCCGGUAAACGGCGGCCGUAACUAUAACGGUCCUAAGGUAGCGAAAUUCCUUGUCGGGUAAGUUCCGACCUGCACGAAUGGCGUAAUGAUGGCCAGGCUGUCUCCACCCGAGACUCAGUGAAAUUGAACUCGCUGUGAAGAUGCAGUGUACCCGCGGCAAGACGGAAAGACCCCGUGAACCUUUACUAUAGCUUGACACUGAACAUUGAGCCUUGAUGUGUAGGAUAGGUGGGAGGCUUUGAAGUGUGGACGCCAGUCUGCAUGGAGCCGACCUUGAAAUACCACCCUUUAAUGUUUGAUGUUCUAACGUGGACCCGUUACCCGGGUUGCGGACAGUGUCUGGUGGGUAGUUUGACUGGGGCGGUCUCCUCCUAAAGAGUAACGGAGGAGCACGAAGGUUGGCUAAUCCUGGUCGGACAUCAGGAGGUUAGUGCAAUGGCAUAAGCCAGCUUGACUGCGAGCGUGACGGCGCGAGCAGGUGCGAAAGCAGGUCAUAGUGAUCCGGUGGUUCUGAAUGGAAGGGCCAUCGCUCAACGGAUAAAAGGUACUCCGGGGAUAACAGGCUGAUACCGCCCAAGAGUUCAUAUCGACGGCGGUGUUUGGCACCUCGAUGUCGGCUCAUCACAUCCUGGGGCUGAAGUAGGUCCCAAGGGUAUGGCUGUUCGCCAUUUAAAGUGGUACGCGAGCUGGGUUUAGAACGUCGUGAGACAGUUCGGUCCCUAUCUGCCGUGGGCGCUGGAGAACUGAGGGGGGCUGCUCCUAGUACGAGAGGACCGGAGUGGACGCAUCACUGGUGUUCGGGUUGUCAUGCCAAUGGCACUGCCCGGUAGCUAAAUGCGGAAGAGAUAAGUGCUGAAAGCAUCUAAGCACGAAACUUGCCCCGAGAUGAGUUCUCCCUGAGACUUAGAGUCUCCUGAAGGAACGUUGAAGACGACGACGUUGAUAGGCCG